CUGGGGAGCAGCGGCGCCGCAGCGGCGGCGGUUCCGUGCCCGGGGAGGCACCGGGUGGGUCCUGCAGCAUUCCCCGGGCUGGGACCCUGCAGCAUUCCCGGCUGGGACCCUGCCUGCACCGGGACCUGGGGCCGGAGCUGUGCCUGCACCUGGACUCGGCUGCCAGGGCUGGCUUUGCAAACUGCAGCUGCUGAGAAUGGGAAGGCAGCUAGAGCAGCAUCACUCCAGCUGUGGAACUGGGAUGCUGCAGCAGAAACCUGCAGGAGGAGGACAAACAAACACGCUGGGCUCCUGAAGCGCCGUGUUUUGAUGGACUUACUGUUCCACUUGUGAUGCAAUGGACUGAGGAGCCAGUGGCUCUGCUGCUGCUGCAGGGAUCUGGUGACAAUGCUGUGACCAUGAGAACAUGUAUGGCCAUGUCCUGCUGGUGCAGGUGGUGGCUGUCACCCUGCAGCUCCAGGCUCAGGAGCAGAUAUGUUUUACUGCGAGGAAGAAUUUGACCAUUUUCUAUUGUAUUCUGAGAAAUAAGCCUACUACACCCAAGCGUUCAAGCCUCUGUUCCAGGGAGCCUCUUUAGGCAUCACCUUCACCAGGUUCUUACUCCUCCUUCCCCUUCUCCUUUGGGCAGAGCAGAGCAGCAGCACCAGAGCUGCUCUCAGAGCUGGGCACUGCUGUGACAGCCUGGAGGGGACGAGAGCCCCAGGAACGUGGGACAGCAUCCUCCACAAACUACCUGGAUGAAGGGUGUGCCUUGGGAAGGAUCAUCUGCCACAGACGUCUUUCAUGGAAAAUCCUUUCCUUAGGGUUUUUUCCUCCUGAGAAGCUGGGAGGCCUCAGGAACAAAAUGCAAACAAUGGUUAUCUGCUGCUGUGGAAUGCAACAGGUGCA